rnacentral:rRNA from 1 species
AGCAGCCGCGGUAAUUCCAGCUCCAAUAGCGUAUAUUAAAGUUGUUGCAGUUAAAAAGCUCGUAGUUGAAUUUCGGGGUCAGUAGGUCGGUCGUGCCACUGGUAUGAACUGGUUUUACUGAUUCCUCCCUCUUGAAGAACUGUAAUGCCAUUAAUUUGGUGUUGCAGGGAAUCAGGACUGUUACUUUGAAAAAAUUGAGUGUUUAAAGCAGGCUUUAGCUUGAAUACAUUAGCAUGGAAUAAUGAAAUAGGACGUUUGAUCCUAUUUUGUUGGUUUCUAGGAUUGACGUAAUGAUUAAUAGGGAUAGUUGGGGGCAUUAGUAUUCAAUUGUCAGAGGUGAAAUUCUUGGAUUUAUUGAAGACUAACUACUGCGAAAGCAUUUGCCAAGGAUGUUUUCAUUAAUCAAGAACGAAGUUAGGGAUCGAAGACGAUCAGAUACCGUCGUAGUCUUAACCAUAAACUAUAGCCGACUAGGGAUCGGAUGAUGUUAAUUUUUAUGUACUNAUUCGGCUCCGUUAAC